GUACACUCCUGCGGGAGGCAGCAGUGGGGAAUAUUGGACAAUGGGCGCAAGCCUGAUCCAGCCAUGCCGCGUGAGUGAUGAAGGCCCUAGGGUUGUAAAGCUCUUUCACCGGAGAAGAUAAUGACGGUAUCCGGAGAAGAAGCCCCGGCUAACUUCGUGCCAGCAGCCGCGGUAAUACGAAGGGGGCUAGCGUUGUUCGGAAUUACUGGGCGUAAAGCGCACGUAGGCGGAUCGAUCAGUCAGGGGUGAAAUCCCAGGGCUCAACCCUGGAACUGCCUUUGAUACUGUCGAUCUGGAGUAUGGAAGAGGUGAGUGGAAUUCCGAGUGUAGAGGUGAAAUUCGUAGAUAUUCGGAGGAACACCAGUGGCGAAGGCGGCUCACUGGUCCAUUACUGACGCUGAGGUGCGAAAGCGUGGGGAGCAAACAGGAUUAGAAACCCGGGUAGUCCCAUG
rnacentral:rRNA from 1 species